rnacentral:misc_RNA from 1 species
GGUAGCCGUAUCGGAAGGUGCGGCUGGAUCACCUCCUUUUGAGUAUGGUGAAUAUAAUUGUCUUAUCAGGCGUCCUCACAAGUUACUUGCAUUCAGGGUUUGAUGUUGGCAUAGGUUUGGGUUUAUGUUGGCGAUUUUUGUUCUGGGGGCCUUAGCUCAGCUGGUAGAGCACCUGCUUUGCAAGCAGGGGGUCGUCGGUUCGAUCCCGACAGGCUCCACCAUGAAAGUAUUUAUGGGUCUGUAGCUCAGGUGGUUAGAGCGCACCCCUGAUAAGGGUGAGGUCGGUGGUUCGAGUCCUCCCAGACCCACCAAUGUUAUAUCAAUUAUUCUGAAUGUGGUUUGCGCAUUUUUUAUGCUUAUCAGCCUUGGAGCUGUGAAGCGUUCUUUUAUAAUUUGAUGAUGUAGCAAGCGUUUGAACUUUUUAUUAAUAAUUUCUCAUUGGAAGCCUUAAGUGACAAUGUUUAUCCAUUGUCUUGUAGAUUUUGAGGCGACUUUGGGUUAUAUGGUCAAGCGAAUAAGCGCACACG